UUCCUAAAGCCUGUUGCUGCCCCGCCCCUGGCUUGGGCCACUCCCAGACUCCCACAGGCCUGGAGGGUGGUUCUGUGCUCUCUGUCUUCCCUGGAGGGAUUGGCCAGGCCUCAUCAGCAAUGUUUUGUUUUUUUUCUUUUAGGUCAUGUGGAUCCUGGGUUUGAGUUCUGCUUCUGUCCUUGGGCAACUAAUUGGCCCUCUCUGAACCAUAGCCAACAGGCAGCAGCACCAUGCAGGGCUUUCAGAGGCCUGCAGGUCCUGACUGCGAGCUGCCUACACAACAAGUACCUGGUUGUCACAGUAGGAGACUGGCUCCAGGCCCAGAACCACAGCCCUGACUCCCAGGGGCUCAGGGAGUGCCCGAAGGAGUGACAGAGGGUUACUGGGCGGAGCAGGGCCAGGAAGGGGGGCUGUGGGGCUGUACCAAGCUAGCACCAGGACUGGGGGGCACCCCCUGCAUCCAACACUUGCCCCCUCUCUCUCCACCCUUCCUAGGUGUCACGUGGGAACAGAGACCUCCGCCUUAGUGCGCCUCCGGCAACCCAACUUCAGUGCAGAAACCUGCGGCCCUCCCCCAGCAGACUCGCCAGCGCGCAGCCAUAGGAGCAGCCUGUGUUCUUGCCCCUGUGGAGGUGGAAGUUGCUAGAGACAGGGCACUGUGGUUACAGACUGGCAGAGGCAGCAGGAGCUGGCAAGAGACCCCAGGCCUCAGGAAGCUGAAUCACAGUGGGAAGAGAAGCUCUGAGGCUCCUGCGAGAAAUGCAAGGAAAAGAGGUCACAGAGGGAGCUAGGGUCCCUGGGGCCACUGGUAGGGUCUUCAGGCAGCCUGCAGGGUGGGGGCAAUGGCCUGGCGGUCCUGCUAAGGAGGCAGGAAGACGGGGCAGAGAAUGUCAUGGCCCACAGGAAGCUGAGGGCAACACCGAGGCCCCUCCUGUGUGCUAGAAAGCUGAGAGUGGGGGGGACCAGAGAGUGGUUCAGUGUGUCCCCUCUGAGCCCAAAGGUCGGGGCUGGCUAGCGGGCACCCGGGCAGAACCAUGGUGAAAUGUGACCUGAGCCCCAGCUCCUGAGAAAGGCGCUCCCUUCCUACUGGCCUUGGGGACUGUGGGUCUGAGGCUCCAGGGGUCCCACUGGCUCUGGGCCUGUCAGUGGUGAAAACUGUAUGGAGAGGGCCACAGGCCUCUGGGCUCUGGCCUGUGCCUGUCCAGGCUGUCCAGCUGUCCAGGCCCCAGGAGCCUCAUGUGCGGUGGACCACACCCUAAAGCAGCUUAUCUCUCUGGGCUGGGCAAGCCCAAGGAUCCAGGUCAUCCCCCGCACACUUUCUCCCCCCCGCACCCAAGCCUGCCCGGCCCAGAGGGCAGGAGACCUGAUAAGCUGGGCCCAAGGCCACCUGCUCCUCCCAGUUCCUCUGCACUGGCCAGGGCUGGACACUGGAUCAGGGAGGCAUGCCACCGCGCAAAAGAGUGGCCAUGGGCCACGUGACCAGGAAGCCCUGGUAAUGGGGCCCACUGAGAGAUACCAGGUCACCCGGUGGUCUAAGUGGAAAAUUAGUUCUGGUUCCUCCCUCCUGUGGCUACCCCCUCAACCAGAAUUUCAUCCAAAUCCCUAACCUUGGCUAGGAUACUGUCUGGCCUGGCCCUGGCAGCUUUUCCCCUCUUCACCCACUCUGAACACGCUGCCUGCGGCUGGCCCUCCAACAGGACAGGAGCAUGCACGCCUCAGGGAUCUGCACUUCUUGUUCCCUGUGCCUGGAACUGUCCCACCGCUGCCUGGCUGGCUACCUGCUUCUCAGCAGCCAGGACUGCCCUUGGAGGUCACUGCUCAGAGUGACCAGGUGGGGUCUGGAGGCAGCAAGAAUCAGCCUGGGUUGGAGAAGCAGCUGACAACUGGGAGCCUUGACAGCACUGAUGUCCUGGGGUCAGCCUGGGUUAUGGGCAGACCACCAUUUACCACGGCCCAUCACCCUUCCCCCACAUCCUGGCUGGGACACCUGUAUCUCAGCCUGGGGUGGGCUGUGGGACUUUGCCCAGCCUCCUUUCAGAUCCGGUCCUGGAGGGCAUGGGCGUCUGACUCUGCUGCCCAGGCCUCAUGUCCCCACCCACUCCCAGGACUACAGGAUCAGUGCUUUGUUUCUCCCGGUACAUACUAGUAAGCACCAGCCCCACGGAGACCCCUCCCUUCUGGCUCCCAUCACCCAGGUGCGCUUCCAGGGAGGCCCCAGGCUCGCCAG